rnacentral:rRNA from 1 species
UUAGGUGGCCAUGGCGACGGGGCCCACCCCUUUCCAUUCCGAACAGGGAAGUUAAGCCCGUCAGCGCCGAUGGUACUGCUAUACCAAGUGGGAGAGUAGGUCGCCGCCUUAC